GGCUCAGGAUGAACGCUGGCGGCGUGCUUAACACAUGCAAGUCGAACGGUGAAGCCCAGCUUGCUGGGUGGAUCAGUGGCGAACGGGUGAGUAACACGUGAGCAACCUGCCCCUGACUCUGGGAUAAGCGCUGGAAACGGCGUCUAAUACUGGAUAUGAGACGUGACCGCAUGGUCGACGUUUGGAAAGAUUUUUCGGUUGGGGAUGGGCUCGCGGCCUAUCAGCUUGUUGGUGAGGUAAUGGCUCACCAAGGCGUCGACGGGUAGCCGGCCUGAGAGGGUGACCGGCCACACUGGGACUGAGACACGGCCCAGACUCCUACGGGAGGCAGCAGUGGGGAAUAUUGCACAAUGGGCGAAAGCCUGAUGCAGCAACGCCGCGUGAGGGACGACGGCCUUCGGGUUGUAAACCUCUUUUAGCAAGGAAGAAGCGAAAGUGAC
rnacentral:rRNA from 1 species